UGGGGAAUUUUGGACAAUGGGCGCAAGCCUGAUCCAGCCAUGCCGCGUGCAGGAUGAAGGCCUUCGGGUUGUAAACUGCUUUUGUACGGAACGAAAAGGUGCCUUCUAAUAAAGGGCGCUCAUGACGGUACCGUAAGAAUAAGCACCGGCUAACUACGUGCCAGCAGCCGCGGUAAUACGUAGGGUGCGAGCGUUAAUCGGAAUUACUGGGCGUAAAGCGUGCGCAGGCGGCUUUGUAAGACAGAUGUGAAAUCCCCGGGCUCAACCUGGUAACUGCAUUUGUGACUGCAAGGCUAGAGUGCGUCAGAGGGAGGUGGAAUUCCGCGUGUAGCAGUGAAAUGCGUAGAGAUGCGGAGGAACACCGAUGGCGAAGGCAGCCUCCUGGGAUGACACUGACGCUCAUGCACGAAAGCGUGGGGAGCAAACA
rnacentral:rRNA from 1 species